rnacentral:rRNA from 1 species
UGGGGGAUAUUGCACAAUGGGCGAAAGCCUGAUGCAGCGACGCCGCGUGGGGGAUGAAGGCUUUCGGGUUGUAAACCUCUUUCGCUAUCGAACAAGGCCCGCUUAGGGUGGGUUGAGGGUAGGUGGAGAAGAAGCGCCGGCUAACUACGUUCCAGCAGCCGCGGUAAUACGUAGGGCGCGAGCGUUGUCCGGAAUUAUUGGGCGUAAAGGGCUUGUAGGCGGCUUGUUGCGCCUGCUGUGAAAACGCGGGGCUUAACUUCGCGCGUGCAGUGGGUACGGGCAGGGUUGAGUGUGGUAGGGGUGACUGGAAUUCCAGGUGUAGCGGUGGAAUGCGCAGAUAUCUGGAGGAACACCGAUGGCGAAGGCAGGUCACUGGGCCAUUACUGACGCUGAGGAGCGAAAGCAUGGGUAGCGAACAGG